CAAUAGCGUAUAUUAAAGUUGUUGCAGUUAAAAAGCUCGUAGUUGGAUUUGUGGCUGUCCCGAGCGGCCUAACACUUAGUGUUAGUGUCAGCUUGGGUCGCCAUCCUUGGGUGGAACCUAUGUGGCAUUAGGUUGUCGUGUAGGGGAUGCCCAUCGUUUACUGUGAAAAAAUUAGAGUGUUCAAAGCAGGCUUAUGCCGUUGAAUAUAUUAGCAUGGAAUAAUAAGAUAGGACCUUGGUACUAUUUUGUUGGUUUGCGCACCAAGGUAAUGAUUAAUAGGGACAGUUGGGGGUAUUCGUAUUCCAUUGUCAGAGGUGAAAUUCUUGGAUUUUUGGAAGACGAACUACUGCGAAAGCAUUUACCAAGGAUGUUUUCAUUAA
rnacentral:rRNA from 1 species